AGUUGAUGUUCAGAUGUUGACACAAGAAGUAAAGGAAAUGCUUUACAGAUUUUUAGAAACAUAACUGAAUAGCUACAUUGAGAGAAAAGAGGGGCCCCUCCAGAUGAGGCUGUGGUACUGUACUAGUUGCUUGAGAUGCUUGGUGAACAAAACAAAGAUUCCUGACCUGAUGAAACUUACAUUCAAGAGCAAGAAAUCAAACAAAAGAUCUCUUGUGCCGAAAAAAGACCCAGCCAACCAAGACCCGAUGCAGACAAAUAAAUAAAAUAAAAGUAAACAUUUAUUUCUUUAAAAAAGAGAGAAAGCAAGAGAGCCAAAGGUAAGGCCAGAGAUGCUCAGUAAAUGUUUGUCAAGAAAAUGAAUGAAAAAGCAAACACUUGUUUUUAAAAUGUGCUUCACAAGGUUUUCACGUGCUUUACAGGAUUUUUACAUGCUUUGCAUAUUUUCCUAUAGGUGAGAAAAGUCUCUAGACUCAUCGAGUCCACAAAAUGUAAUCUCACGUCUAUGCAGACUCAAGAAGGCACCGUGUCCUUCUAUUGCCAAAGAGGAAACAUCUGGCUGUGUCAAGAGACGGCCCUGCAUCCUCUCAACCUUAAGUCCCUGAGGCUGGAUUCACACAGCAGAGUCUGAAGUUGAGCAGAUAAAGUUGAUUCUGUGGCUCCACUCAGAAGGAUGUGGUGCUGACAGGCCACUCCACCUUCAAGGCUGACGUGAUGGGAACCAAAGUGAGACAGAGGAACCACAAAGCAUUCAAAGAGGCCGAGAAGUUUAUCUCACUCAGCACGUUGAAUAGAUGGAGGUAGAAAGGAAAAUGGGCUCUUUGUGAACAAAUGGCUUCUCCUCACUGAAUAUCCCUCUCUGAAAAGGUUCUGAAAUCCACAUACAUUAACGGGAUAUAUCAGUGUUUUCCAAGCACUUCUGCAGGAACUGUUGUGGAGGAGCCUGACUCGCUCUCUCAGAAUCUCCUGGGAAGUUUCCUCACAGUAUGGAUCCUGGGAGACUAUCUUUGGAAGAUCUGAAUCAGUGGGUCCAGGUGGAGUCAGGAAUUACUAC
ensembl:lncRNA